ensembl:lncRNA
CGCAUAUACAGGUAACAAUGUACAGAAUAUGUACAGAAAAAUGUGAAAAUUGUACGGAGCUAUGUAUAAAUGUACAGUAAACAAACAAGCUGGCGAGUAAGAUGACCAAAAGAAUGUUAAGCUGCAUUAUAGCGUCUGACAGCUGCUGGUAAGAAUGACCUGCGGUAGCGCUCCUUCCUACACUGUGGGAAGCCUCGUUAACCCUGUCCCUCUCUGCCAUUCCACCACUCCAGCAGACCACAGCAUAGAAAAUAGCAGACGGCAUCACAGUGUCGUAGUGUGUUCCUCCACGGAGUGACGGACCAGGAGAGACGAUGGACACUGAGAUAACUACAGAACUUGUCAGUUUAGAAGUGAUAAAGUUUAAAAAUUGGACGUAGCCUCCUAAUCUGAAGAGUGAAGCCGACAUGGAAGCGCAUUCUCUCUAAAAUCCAGCAGGUGGCAAACCCGCUGACGGGGAAACAGAAGUCCAUGAGAAAACCAUCACCGACCCCUCCCUGUGAUCAGUCAGCUGAUAUUUUAGCUGACAAACUGAUGCUGUGGGUUCCCUGUGAGUUUCUGGAUGGAUCGCUAACGGUGCCGGCACAGUUCUGACGUUCCUUUGGGAAAUUUGUGUCUUUGUUAGGAAAGUCUGAAUAAAUAAAGUUGGAUGUGAUCUUUGUGUUCGAGUUUGCUCUCAGAUCUGAUUGACUCAGCUUCUUUGAUGUGAGAGGAAGCUUUUCAAAAAUAAGAGGAAAUAUUGGAUAAGGCAUGACAGCUCUGAACCAAUCAGUUUGCAGCAAACCAGCAGUUUAAUAACACAUCACAAAUCUGUACAGGAACAUGAGCAGACGGAGGUUUCAUUAACACAAACCAGUGAGGCCAGUCUGUCCUCACUAGCGCUUUACUGGAACACUGUGGCUACUGGGAAACACUCCCAUAAAUACACACGUGUGUUACUGCAGAUAUGAUUACAAGUGUCUUUAUAUGAAUAACACGUUUAUAAAAAUGUUCAUACAGCUUCCAAACUAAUACAAAGUGAUAACUGAUGGAAGUACUGCAGUACUCCUACUUUUGCAGUACUAUGAACUUCAUCACAUGACUUUUAUUAUGAAGUCUUCCCAGGAAAUGCAGCAUUAGUGCUGACAGAGCGACAGGAAGAACAUGUUACACUGUCCCAGCAGGAGGCGCCAAACCAACUCGCACGACUUCCAGACCGCCAGUUUAAGACUGAGGCAGGCGCCUCAUUGGUCACUUUACACGCAGACGUGUAGAACUGACCAAUGAGGCGCCUGCGCUUAGAUGUGACCAACUGUGUUCACAGUUUGAUUUGUUCCACAUGUUGCAGCUUGUUUACUUCAAUUUAAUCUUCACAGCGCGCGCGUUUCUAUGAUGUCAUCGUUUGUGUAAUCUGAUGUGUAAUCUCAGAGUCGUCACUGAAGCCAGCUCUCUGUCACUUAGUCUCUUUUAACUUUAUUUAAACACAUCCGCAGGAACAAUGCUGCGGGUUACCUGUUACUGAGUCACACGCACGUGACACCUUCCUCCUUUACCUGUGUGAGCUUCAUCGAUAUCCCGAACUGACAGGUUAGAGAAGGUUACUGAUGUGAGAUAUCAGAUUAGACU